rnacentral:rRNA from 1 species
GGGCCCGCACAAGCGGUGGAGCAUGUGGUUUAAUUCGAUGAUACGCGAGGAACCUUACCAGGGCUUAAAUGUAAGUUGCAUAAAUCAGAGAUGAUUUUUUCUUCGGACUACUUACAAGGUGCUGCAUGGUUGUCGUCAGCUCGUGCCGUGAGGUGUCAGGUUAAGUCCUAUAACGAGCGCAACCCCUGUCGUUAGUUGCCAUCAAGUAAUGUUGGGUACUCUAGCGAGACUGCCGGUGCAAACCGAGAGGAAGGUGGGGAUGACGUCAAAUCAUCACGGCCCUUACGUCCUGGGCUACACACGUGCUACAAUGGCCGGUACAGAGAGCAGCCACUACGCGAGUAGGAGCGAAUCUUCAAAACCGGUCUCAGUUCGGAUCGCAGUCUGCAACUCGACUGCGUG